CACGGAGUAAACAGCUGUUUGGCUUUCGCUUCGCCUUGCUGAUAAGGUAGAAAUAUUUGUUGACAACAAAAAGGAAAUUAUGGUUGAACAGGCUGCGGAGGACUAUGCAAAAAUUUUGCAAAGCAUUAAUUUGGAUCGAGAGAUUAAUCCGAUAUGCGUGAAUAUUGAGGAUAUGUUGGCACGACUAGACGAAUUCGAAACAUUGCUUUCAAGUGUGCGAGCCGAAAACAACAGCAUUUUGGGAAAUCACGUCAGUGGCAUAGUAGCUUUUAGUGAUGGUUUUGAUAAUCUGCGCCAACGCAUCGACAAGUUGGAACAAUUUGUGGACAGAGUAAACACUAACGUCAAUGAGGUGGAAAAGUCACUUGAUAUUGCGGAGCUUGAGCUUAAUGUUACAGAUUACAGUUUAAAGGGUUUACUCAUUAAACCACUCCUCGCUAAAGCCAAAGCUUCGGGUAUAUCUUCUGAUGUGCCAGAUCAACCACAAAGUAACUUAAAAGACGGUGAAUUUCAACCAGUUCAAGUAUUUCAAACAAAUGCAUAUUUUGGUAGCAACCAAAUAAGUUAUAGUGAAGAAGCACAAGAAAACCAAGGAAGUUAGUGGUGGAUUAAUAUUUCGUUAAUUUUUUAUUUUUAAUACUUAAUUAAAGUUUUAGCCAAUUUGACAGUGUGGUUAAGGUGGAGACCUACAUAUGUACUAGAUAGUUCAAUCAUUAUUCCAAACACUUUAAAAGUUGCAAUAUAUUUAUGAAAUAUUUAAUAUGUUUUUUAUCAAUAUUAUAAAUGUGUGACAAGUUUAAAGAUAUGCCAUGACUUAUGUAACUACUCCAAUUGUAUUCACACCUGUUGCUUUCAAAUCCAAAUAUAGAAGGACUAUUUCCUGUCUGAUUUAUGGAGUGAUUUUAGUUAGUUUUAUUUGUACACUUUUUUGGGGUUUUAAAAUAUUCAACAAAUACAAAAACAACAUAUUUCAGUAUUCGAAGCUUCUAUUCUCUAUUCAAAUAAAUAUACUUUUCUCUUAAUUAAAUCCAGCUACCCUAGUGUUUAUGGCGUCCAUAGUCAUAUCCAUAUUAAUCGAGGUAGUUUUUAUCAAAUAUACACUAAGUUGUGAUUCAUUGCAUAAUUGAUUGUUAGCUUGAAGCAAAUUUGUAAAUAAAUAUAUUUUACACGCUAACAAAGUAGAGAUGUUUGUAAUAAAUUGAACAGAGUGCUAAUUUUUUACUUAUGAAGCGAACAAUCCAGACAAAAUGGGCAGACCGUUUAUUUAUGUAUUUUUUUUAAUAAACAGGUCAAAAUAAAAACAAAAUAUGUACAGAUAUUGCCUCGUACUAUUAUGAACACAAAUGAAGAGUGAGGAUCUUCGCAUUACUACUUUCCAAAAUAUAACAUAAAUUGAUAACUGCUCUGUUUUGUGCCUCAAAUUCGCUUUAAUUAGCACAAAUUAUCGAAAGGUUAACAAUUCCUGUAAACACUCACCGACUAUGCAUACAAUUUUUCUCACUUCUAUCUCGUUUUAUUUAUUUUUCCCAUUUUCAAUUUCGCAUAUUAACUGUGUGUUUAUCUAUAAAAGCCAUAAAUAUCAUGGUUACAAAAGUAGUAUCGGUUUAUAUUUCAAAGAUUCAGGCAGCAGAUAUAAUACGAUGCGUCAGAUUAUAAUAUUAGCCAGCUUAGUGGUUUGCUGCGUUGCAGCUCCUACAUCACAACAAACUUCUGCAGAAGAUAAAGUUCACGAUUUUUUGCUACAACGUCCCAG